AUGGCAGAAGAGGAUGAGGAGAAAACCGCAUUCAUCACCCCAUGUGGCACAUACUGUUUUGUACGGAUGCCUUUCGGUUUAAAGAAUGCUGGUUCAACAUUUGCAAGAGUAGUCAAUGAUGCUUUUGAGCCGCAAAUGCACAGAAAUGUGGAAGCCUACAUGGAUGACAUAGUGGUCAAGAGCAAGGACAAGACGACUCUGAUUCAAGAUUUAAACGAAACCUUUGCAAAUCUGCGCAAGAUCAACCUCAAGCUUAACCCCGAGAAGUGUGUGUUUGGAGUCCCCUCCGGCAAGCUUCUCGGGUUCUUCGUGUCUCAGCGGGGAAUUGAAGCUAAUCCCGACAAGAUCAAGGCUAUUGAGCAGAUUGAAACACCAAAGCGCGUCAAGGAUGUACGAAGACUUGCCGGUUGCGUGGCUGCUCUCAGCAGGUUUAUCUCUAGAUCUGCUGAGCGUGCCCUGCCGUUUUUCAAAAUAUUAAAAAAGGCAGGUCCAAUGAAAUGGACUCCAGAGGCGGAGGCUGCGCUGCAGGACUUGAAGAGAUACCUGUCCUCCACUCCAACACUUGUCGCACCUAAGCCACAAGAGAAGUUGCUGCUAUAUAUAGCGGCAACCAAUCAAGUGGUUAGUAAUGCGUUAGUAGCGGAGAGGGAGGCGGAUGAUGAGCCAGCAACCACGGCAGAUGCAUCCAGCGACAAGCAGGGGACUUCACCGGCAAGCUCUGGUCCCGACAAAGAUGGAUCUGCGCAGGCGCCUGAGAAGAUGCAGAAAAGAAUGGUGCAGCGCCCGGUUUACUUUGUCAGUUUCCUUCUGCAGGGGGCUAGGUCAAGGUACUCUGGUGUGCAGAAAUUGCUUUUCGGCCUUCUCAUGGCCUCGAGAAAGUUGCGCCAUUAUUUCCAAGCACAUGAGAUUAUAGUCGUCACUCGUUUUCCGCUAAAGAGGAUACUACAAAAUCCAGAAGCAACAGGCAGGAUUGUCGAGUGGGCACUGGAACUGUAA
rnacentral:rRNA from 1 species